rnacentral:lncRNA from 13 species
GGGAAGUUGAAUAAUAUCACACAUACUCCAGUAGUCCUACUGUAUAAUAUCACACAUACUCCAGUAGUCCUACUGUAUAAUAACACACAAACUCUAGUAGUCCUACUGUAUAAUAUCACACAUACUCCAGUAGGUCUACUGUAUAAUAUCACACAUACUCCAGUAGUCCUACUGUAUAAUAUCACACAUACUCCAGUAGUCCUACUGUAUAAUAUCACACAUACUCCAGUAGUCCUACUGUAUAAUAACACACAAACUCUAGUUGUCCUACUGUAUAAUAACACACAAACUCUAGUAGUCCUACUGUAUAAUAUCACACAUACUCCAGUAGGUCUACUGUAUAAUAUCACACAUACUCCAGUAGUCCUACUGUAUAAUAUCACACAUACUCCAGUAGUCCUACUGUAUAAUAACACACAAACUCUAGUUGUCCUACUGUAUAAUAUCACACAUACUCCAGUAGUCCUACUGUAUAAUAUCACACAUACUCCAGUAGUCCUACUGUAUAAUAACACACAAACUCUAGUUGUCCUACUGUAUAAUAACACACAUACUCCAGUAGGUCUACUGUAUACUAACACACAUACUCCAGUGGUCCUACUGUAUAAUAUCACACAUACUCCAGUAGUCCUACUGUAUAAUAUCACACAUACUCUAGUAGUCCUACUGUAUAAUAUCACACAUACUCCAGUGGUCCUACUGUAUAAUAUCACACAUACUCCAGUAGUCCUACUGUAUAAUAUCACACAUACUCUAGUAGUCCUACUGUAUAAUAUCACACAUACUCCAGUAGGUCUACUGUAUAAUAUCACACAUACUCCAGUAGUCCUACUGUAUAAUAUCACACAUACUCCAGUAGUCCUACUGUAUAAUAACACACAAACUCUAGUUGUCCUACUGUAUAAUAUCACACAUACUCUAGUAGGUCUACUGUAUAAUAACACACAUACUCCAGUAUUCCUACUGUAUAAUAUCACACAUACUCCAGUAGGUCUACUGUAUAAUAUCACACAUACUCCAGUAGUCCUACUGUAUAAUAACACACAAACUCUAGUUGUCCUACUGUAUAAUAACACACAAACUCUAGUAGUCCUACUGUAUAAUAUCACACAUACUCUAGUAGGUCUACUGUAUAAUAAUACACAUACUCCAGUAGUCCUACUGUAUAAUAUCACACAUACUCCAGUAGUCUUACUGUAUAAUAACACACAAACUCUAGUAGUCCUACUGUAUAAUAUCACACAUACUCCAGUAGUCCUACUGUAUAAUAUCACACAUACUCCAGUAGUCCUACUGUAUAAUAUCACACAUACUCUAGUAGUCCUACUGUAUAAUAACACACAAACUCUAGUAGUCCUACUGUAUAAUAUCACACAUACUCCAGUAGUCCUACUGUAUAAUAACACACAAACUCUAGUAGUCCUACUGUAUAAUAUCAUGCAUACUCCAGUAGGUCUACUGUAUAAUAACACACAUACUCCAGUAGGUCUACUGUAUACUAACACACAUACUCUAGUUGUCCUACUGUAUAAUAACACACAUAUUCUAGUAGUCCUACUGUAUAAUAUCACACAUACUCCAGUAGUCCUACUGUGUAAUAUCACACAUACUCCAAUAGUACUACUGUAUAAUAACACACAUACUCUAGUAGUCCUACUGUAUAAUAACACACAUACUCUAGUAGUGCUACUGUAUAAUAUCACACAUACUUCAGUAGGUCUACUGUAUAAUAUCACACAUUCUCUAGUAGUCCUACUGUAUAAUAUCACACAUACUCCAGUAGGUCUACUGUAUAAUAUCACACAUACUCCAGUAGGUCUACUGAAUAAUAUCACACAUACUCUAGUAGCCCUACUGUAUAGUAUCACACAUACUCUAGUAGUCCUACAGUAUAAUAACACACAUAUUCUAGUAGUGCUACUGUAUAAUAUCACACAUACUAUAGUAGUGCUACUGUAUAAUAUCACACAUACUCCAAAGAACACAAAUUAG